rnacentral:tRNA from 1 species
GCUAGAUUAGCAGAUGUAAUGUAUUCAACUUAGGAUUGAAAGGAAAUUUUUAAUUAUUUAGUG